GCAGGGGUUGCAGAGCUUGGCCAAAUGCGACAGGUUUAGGGCCUGUUCUCUUAGGAGUUCGCCGGUUCAAAUCCGGCCCCCUGCA
rnacentral:tRNA from 1 species